GGAUGAACGCUAGCGGCAGGCUUAACACAUGCAAGUCGAACGAGACCUUCGGGUCUAGUGGCGCACGGGUGCGUAACGCGUGGGAAUCUGCCCUUAGGUUCGGAAUAACUUCGGGAAACUGAAGCUAAUACCGGAUGAUGACGUAAGUCCAAAGAUUUAUCGCCUUUAGAUGGGCCCGCGUAAGAUUAGCUAGUUGGUGGGGUAAAGGCCUACCAAGGCGACGAUCUUUAGCUGGUCUGAGAGGAUGAUCAGCCACACUGGGACUGAGACACGGCCCAGACUCCUACGGGAGGCAGCAGUGGGGAAUAUUGGACAAUGGGCGAAAGCCUGAUCCAGCAAUGCCGCGUGAGUGAUGAAGGCCUUAGGGUUGUAAAGCUCUUUUACCCGAGAUGAUAAUGACAGUAUCGGGAGAAUAAGCUCCGGCUAACUCCGUG
rnacentral:rRNA from 1 species